UACAGAGGUCUCAAGCGUUGUUCGGAUUCAUUGGGCGUAAAGGGUGCGUAGGCGGCGCGGUAAGUCGGGUGUGAAAUCUCGGGGCUUAACUCCGAAACUGCAUUUGAUACUGCGGUGCUUGAGGACUGGAGAGGAGACUGGAAUUCAUGGUGUAGCAGUGAAAUGCGUAGAGAUCAUGAGGAAGACCAGUGGCGAAGGCGGGUCUCUGGACAGUUCCUGACACUGAGGCACGAAGGCCAGGGGAGCAAACGGG
rnacentral:rRNA from 1 species